CCACGCCGUAACCAAUGUCAACUAGCCGUUGGAGUCCUUGAGAUUUUAGUGACGCAGCUAACUCACUAAGUUGACCGCCUGGGGAGUACGGUCGCAAAGAUUAAAACUCAAAUGAAUUGACGGGGACCCGCACAAGCGGUGGAGCAUGUGGUUUAAUUCGAAAGCAACGCGAAGAACCUUACCUGGGCUUGACAUGCAGAGAACUUUCCAGACAUGGAUUGGUGCCUUCGGGAACUCUGAACACAGGUGCUGCAUGGCUGUCGUCAGCUCGUGUCUAGAGAUGUUUGGGUUAAGUCCCGUAACGAGCGCACCCUUGUCCUUAGUUACCAGCACAUUUAUGG
rnacentral:rRNA from 1 species